AAAGAUGCGAAGAGCGGGGUGCUGCUCGCUGCAGGAGAGGCGCCCCUCACCCGGGAAAGGGGUGAGGACGAUGAGCUCAUCGUGACUGCCUGGGGAGAGAGGGGGACACAGAGAUGCACAUUAGGAAUCUGUUCCAAAAACUUCGUAAAUAACAAGGAUGCCAACAACAAACGCAUACAAAGCUACCAGGAUGAGGACAGACAUUUUUCGGAAUAAACGUGUUUCUAGAGAGAAGUGGACUGCGGUGAGGAGAUGCAGAGGCUUGCUCCGGCUUUUCUGGACCGCUGCUGAUGUGUACUGCCGCUUUCUCUCUCCUCUCAAGAUAGUACCUUUCUCAACUGCUUAUCAUCUAAAGCUGUGCAAGACCAUCACCCAAGAACUGCCAUAUUCCUACAUUUGUUUUGUCAACUAGUUUAUUGUUUAUUUUGUUUUUGAAGCGACUUUGAGAUUCUACUUGUAAUGAAAGCGCUAUAUUAAAGAAAUCGAUUGUUUUUAAAGUCUAUUUAGAAAAGAUAAAGGUCCCUGGUUUAGGCCAGAAUCGUAUCAUUGUAAUUGAGUUUAGGUUUGGAUAUUGAAAUAUUUCCCCUAUUUCCGUCAUAAAAAACAUGUUGGUAACCUAUGAAAGAAUUGCUAGACUAAUUCAAACAUUCUCAAAUACAGACAGUACUGAUGUUUUAUUCAUAAAUGACACUAGAUGGCGGUAAGUAGGUCUAGAAGAGAACAGAAUCAAUGCAUUGCAUUGGAUAGGUUUGUGGCCUUUCCAAUAUAAGUAUUUUAUUUUAUCAAAUGGUGAUCAGGACUGUGUAUUAUGAUGUAGUAAUAGUUAGUGAAAUUGUGUGCACAGAUAUUUGGUUUUAACAUUUCCCACCUUAUGAAUAAACAUACAACCUUU